UUUAGAAUAUUUUGUAAAUAUUAUUUACUAAUUAGUACAUGCUUUGGAUUAUUAAUAUGUUGUUCAUGAAUUGUUUUAUGGUAUAAUAUUGUUUAAGAUGCUUAUUUCGACUUAUAUUCGUAAUGUUAUUACUAUCCAUGAAGUAUACCUGAAUAUAUAUAUAUAUAUGUAUUGUUUCUAUAUAUAUUUGCUAUGAAAAGUAGAUUGUAGUAUUAUGUUAUACGGAUGAAUAUAGACCUCCCGCGAAAUUGGAAACCCAAAACAGAUCGGUAGCACGCCUAUAUUGCAUCCUCAGAGGUGGCGAGGAGAAACAAUAAAUACGCAAUACAUGUUCACAAACAAGCUGUUAAACCAUGGAGAAAGCUCAUGAGCUUGUGGUUUUCUUGGCAGCAUUGAAAAUUCAUUACUGAACAGAUGACAAGCAAACAACGAAUUACCAUUAAGAAUCCCGCAGAAAUGAAUUGCGAAAUCAGUGGGUUAUUUGUAGGAUCAGAUUUUUUAGUGACUUUUACGUGUGUUUCUAAUCUUUAUUUAAAGAGAUUUUAAGAAAGAUCGGGUAUUUUGUCGCAGAGUAUUGUUUUGCUUAGCAGUACCAAUUGUCAACGUAUAUACAAGUAAAUAUUUUGGUUAGAAUUCCCAGUAAAUGUUAUGUAAUCUUCGACUUUCGAACAAAUAAUCAAAAAAAACUUGUUUAUUGAGUAUAUAGAAAAUAAGUAAUGUUCAUGUGUGGGUUAUUUAAAACUUGUAAGUGUUUUGAUAUAUCAUAAUAUUUUAUAAAGUUAAUGUUGAAAAUCAUUUGUGAUCAAAAUAAACAUGUGCAUACAUUAAAACC